rnacentral:rRNA from 1 species
GUAGUCCACGCCGUAAACGAUGUCUACUAGAUGUUCGUGGUCUUGUACCGUGAGUAUCGCAGCUAACGCAUUAAGUAGACCGCCUGGGGAGUACGGUCGCAAGAUUAAAACUCAAAUGAAUUGACGGGGGCCCGCACAAGCGGUGGAGCAUGUGGUUUAAUUCGACGCAACGCGAAGAACCUUACCUACUCUUGACAUCUACAGAAGAACGCAGAGAUGUGUUUGUGCCUUCGGGAACUGUAAGACAGGUGCUGCAUGGCUGUCGUCAGCUCGUGUUGUGAAAUGUUGGGUUAAGUCCCGCAACGAGCGCAACCCUUAUCCUUAGUUGCCAGCGAUUCGGUCGGGAACUCUAGGGAGACUGCCGGUGAUAAACCGGA